rnacentral:rRNA from 1 species
CAAGUCGAACGAGAAGAGAUGAGAAGCUUGCUUCUAUUGAUUCGAGUGGCAAACGGGUGAGUAACGCGUAAGCAACCUGCCCUUCAGAUGGGGACAACAGCUGGAAACGGCUGCUAAUACCGAAUACGUCUUUUUGUCGCAUGGCAGAGGGAAGAAAGGGAGGCUCUUCGGAGCUUUCGCUGAAGGAUGGGCCUGCGUCUGAUUAGCUAGUUGGUGGGGCAACGGCCUACCAAGGCGACGAUCAGUAGCCGGUCUGAGAGGAUGAACGGCCACAUUGGAACUGAGACACGGUCCAGACUCCUACGGGAGGCAGCAGUGGGGAAUCUUCCGCAAUGGGCGCAAGCCUGACGGAGCAACGCCGCGUGAGUGAAGAAGGGUUUCGGCUCGUAAAGCUCUGUUGAAGGGGACGAACGGUAGGCAUAGGAAAUGAUGCUUAUUUGACGGUACCUUUCGAGGAAGCCACGGCUAACUACGUG